rnacentral:rRNA from 1 species
GACGGGGGAUGCAAGCGUUAUCAGGAAUCACUGGGCGUAAAGCGUCUGUAGGUGGUGAUGCAAGUCACUGGUGCAAAACUCUGGCUCAACCGGACGAAAGCCAGUGAAACUGCAUGACUAGAGUGUGGGAGAGGUAGAAGGAAUUCCCUGAAUAGCGGUGAAAUGCGUAGAUACAGGGAAGAACACCGGAGGCGAAAGCGUUCUACUGGAACACAACUUACACUGAGAGUCGAAAGCUAGGGGAGCGAAUGUA